AGUGAACGCUGGCGGUAGGCCUAACACAUGCAAGUCGAACGGCAGCACAGGAGAGCUUGCUCUCUAGGUGGCGAGUGGCGGACGGGUGAGGAAUACAUCGGAAUCUGCCCAGUCGUGGGGGAUAACGUAGGGAAACUUACGCUAAUACCGCAUACGACCUUCGGGUGAAAGAGGGGGAUCGCAAGACCUCUCGCGAUUGGAUGAGCCGAUGUCGGAUUAGCUAGUUAGCGGGGUAAUGGCCCACCAAGGCGACGAUCCGUAGCCGGUCUGAGAGGAUGAUCAGCCACACUGGAACUGAGACACGGUCCAGACUCCUACGGGAGGCAGCAGUGGGGAAUAUUGGACAAUGGGCGCAAGCCUGAUCCAGCCAUACCGCGUGGGUGAAGAAGGCCUUCGGGUUGUAAAGCCCUUUUGUUGGGAAAGAAAUCUUUCAGGCUAAUACCCUAGGAGGAUGACGGUACCCAAAGAAUAAGCACCGGCUAACUUCGUG
rnacentral:rRNA from 1 species